UACGAAGGGGGCUAGCGUUGUUCGGAUUUACUGGGCGUAAAGCGCACGUAGGCGGUUUGUUAAGUCAGAGGUGAAAUCCCGGAGCUCAACUCCGGAACUGCCUUUUGAUACUGGCAAGCUAGAGUCCGGAAGAGGUGAGUGGAACUCCUAGUGUAGAGGUGGAAUUCGUAGAUAUUAGGAAUACACCAGUGGCGAAGGCGGCUCACUGG
rnacentral:rRNA from 1 species